GAUGAACGCUGGCGGCGUGCCUAAUACAUGCAAGUCGAGCGAACAGACGAGGAGCUUGCUCCUCUGACGUUAGCGGCGGACGGGUGAGUAACACGUGGAUAACCUACCUAUAAGAAUGGGAUAACUUCGGGAAACCGGAGCUAAUACCGGAUAAUAUAUUGAACCGCAUGGUUCAAUAGUGAAAGACGGUUUUGCGGUCACUUAUAGAUGGAUCCGCGCCGCAUUAGCUAGUUGGUAAGGUAACGGCUUACCAAGGCGAGGAUGCGUAGCCGACCUGAAAGGGUGAUCGGCCACACUGGAACUGAGACACGGUCCAGACUCCUACGGGAGGCCGCAGUAGGGAAUCUUCCGCAAUGGGCGAAAGCCUGACGGAGCAACGCCGCGUGAGUGAUGAAGGUCUUCGGAUCGUAAAACUCUGUUAUUAGGGAAGAACAAAUGUGUAAGUAACUAUGCACGUCUUGACGGUACCUAAUCAGAAAGCCACGGCUAACUACGUG
rnacentral:rRNA from 1 species